AUUGAACGCUGGCGGCAGGCCUAACACAUGCAAGUCGAACGAGUGGCGGACGGGUGAGUAAUGUCUGGGAAACUGACUGAUGGAGGGGGAUAACUACUGGAAACGGUAGCUAAUACCGCAUACCAUCAGAUGUGCCCAGUUGGGAUUAGCUUGUUGGUGGGGUAACGGCUCACAAAGGCGAAGAUCCCUAGCUGGUCUGAGAGGAAGACCGGCCAAACUGGAACUGAGACACGGUCCAGACUCCUACGGGAGGCAGCGGUGGGGAAUAUGGGACAAUGGGCGCAAGCUUGAUGCAGCCAUGCCGGGUGUAUGAAGAAGGCCUUCGGGUUGUAAAGUAUUUUCAGCGGGGAGGCGUUACCCGCAGAAGAAGCACCGGCUAACUCCGUGCCAGCCGCCGCGGUAAUUC
rnacentral:rRNA from 1 species